UCAGAGGCAGGCACAACUUCUCAAAGUCACAACAACAAAGGCAAAGGGACGACAGAAUCCAGUUUGAGCUUGAACUUGAAGACAAAACACAUGCAUCUAUCUGCUCAUUACUCAUGGGAUUGAUGUUUUGUAACUGUUGAUUUUGGCUACAGAAAAAAGGAAAAUUCUGCAAACUCCUUUGGACAGCAUUUUCUCCUCAUUACUGAGCCAUGGGAAACACAAUGAAGACAUAACACAGGUGUACAACAACUAUCCAGAGGAUUUAGGGGCAGCUCUAUACCGAGAGCCAUUUGACUUCAACGCCGAGCCCACCUUGGGAUCCUAGCUGAUAGUGGACAAGUUCAUCCCAGGACUUAUCCAUUUUGUUGCAAAAGUCUAGGACCCCAGGGGCUCGAGAGCAAACAAGCAAGACCACUACAGAUUAGCCACAUUCUUUAUGCCUGUCGGAUUAGAGGAAAACGGUUGAGAGGAUGAAGGGAAUCGCUGAUGAACCACAGUAUUCUGUUGGCCUAUUGGAGGGAGGCACAGCACUUUGUGACGUAAUUGACAACCACAUUUAUGAACAA